UACGUAGGGUGCGAGCGUUGUCCGGAAUUAUUGGGCGUAAAGAGCUUGUAGGCGGUUUGUCGCGUUGGUCGUGAAAUCUCACGGCUUAACUGUGAGCGUGCGGGCGAUACGGGCAGACUAGAGUACUGCAGGGGAGACUGGAAUUCCUGGUGUAGCGGUGGAAUGCGCAGAUAUCAGGAGGAACACCGGUGGCGAAGGCGGGUCUCUGGGCCGAUACUGACGCUGAGGAGCGAAAGCGUGGGGAGCGAACAGG
rnacentral:rRNA from 1 species